UUUCUCAAUGGGCGAAAGCUGAAGGAGCGACGCCGCGUGGAGGAUGAAGGCUUUCGGGUUGUAAACUCCUGUCAUUUGAGAACAAGUGUCGGCAAGUAACUACUGCCGACUUGAUAGUAUCAGAAGAGGAAGAGACGGCUAACUCUGUGCCAGCAGCCGCGGUAAUACAGAGGUCUCAAGCGUUGUUCGGAUUCAUUGGGCGUAAAGGGUGCGUAGGUGGCGGGGUAAGUCAGGUGUGAAAUUUCGGAGCUUAACUCCGAAACUGCAUUUGAUACUGCCUUGCUUGAGGACUGGAGAGGAGACUGGAAUUCACGGUGUAGCAGUGAAAUGCGUAGAUAUCGUGAGGAAGACCAGUGGCGAAGGCGGGUCUCUGGACAGUUCCUGACACUGAGGCACGAAGGCCAGGGGAGCAAACGGGAUUAGAUACCCCGGUAGUCCUGGCAGUAAACGGUGCACGUUUGGUGUGGGGGGAUUCGACCCCUUCCGCGCCGGAACUAACGCGUUAAACGUGCCGCCUGGGGAGUACGGUCGCAAGAUUAAAACUCAAAGAAAUUGACGGGGGCCCGCACAAGCGGUGGAGUAUGUGGCUUAAUUCGAUGCAACGCGAAGAACCUUACCAGGCCUUGACAUGCAUUUCUAAGUUGGUGAAAGCCAGCGAGUCCCGAAAGGGACAAUUUGCACAGGUGCUGCAUGGCUGUCGUCAGCUCGUGUCGUGAGAUGUUGGGUUAAGUCCCGCAACGAGCGCAACCCCUGUGAACUGUUGCCACCGAGCCGUGAGGCUCGAGCACUCUGUUCAGACUGCCCCGCUCUAACGGGGAGGAAGGUGGGGACGACGUCAAGUCAGUAUGGCCCUUACGGCCUUGGGCUGCACACGUACUACAAUGCCCAGCACAGAACGAUCCAAGACCGCAAGGUGGAGGAAAUCUCUAAAACUGGGCCCAGUUCAGAUUGAAGUCUGCAACUCGACUUCAUGAAGCCGGAAUCGCU
rnacentral:rRNA from 1 species